rnacentral:rRNA from 1 species
UGGACUAGCAGAGUAUGCUGAGGCGCUUGAGAGAAGUAUGCUGAAGGAACUAGGCAAUUUGCCCUCGUAACUUCGGAAGAAGAGGGCCCAACCUACGCGCAAGCGUUGAUUGGGGGCACAGAGCAGGGGGUAGCGACUGUUUACUAAAAACACAGGACUCUGCGAAAUCCAAAGAUGACGUAUAGGGUCUGACGCCUGCCCGGUGCCGGAAGGUUAAGAGGAGAUGUGAAAGCGUCGAAUCGUAGCCCCGGUAAACGGCGGCCGUAACGAUAACGGUCCUAAGGUAGCGAAAUUCCUUGUCGGGUAUUCCGACCUGCACGAAAGGCGUAACGACUUCCCCACUGUCUCCAGCAUAUGCUCAGCGAAGUUGAAUUCCCCGUGAAGAUGCGGGGUACCCGCGGUCAGACGGAAAGACCCCGUGCACCUUUACUGCAGCUUUGCACUGGCAUUAGGGAUGGAUUGCGUAGGAUAGGUGGUAGGCUUUGAAGUCUAGGCUCUGGCUUGGAUGGAGCCACCCUUGAAAUACCACCCUGUUUGUUCCUGAUGUCUAACCGCGAUUCGAAACAGGGUCCGGAACCAUGCAUGGCGGGCAGUUUGACUGGGGCGGUCGCCUCCCAAAGAGUAACGGAGGCGCGCAAUGGUAAGCUCAGGCCGGUCGGAAAUCGGCUGUUGAGUGCAAUGGCACAAGCUUGCCUGACUGCAAGGCUGACAAGCCAAGCAGAGUCGAAAGACGGUCAUAGUGAUCCGGUGGUCCCGCGUGGAAGGGCCAUCGCUCAACGGAUAAAAGGUACGCCGGGGAUAACAGGCUGAUGAUCCCCAAGAGUCCAUAUCGACGGGAUCGUUUGGCACCUCGAUGUCGGCUCAUCACAUCCUGGGGCUGGAGCAGGUCCCAAGGGUAUGGCUGUUCGCCAUUUAAAGUGGUACGUGAGCUGGGUUUAGAACGUCGUGAAACAGUUCGGUCCCUAUCUGUCGUGGGUGUUCGAGACUUGAGAGGAUUUCUUCCUAGUACGAGAGGACCGGAAGGAACGCACCUCUGGUGGAUCGGUUGUCGCGCCAGCGGCACUGCCGAGUAGCUAUGUGCGGAAUAGAUAACCGCUGAAAGCAUCUAAGCGGGAAACUAACCUCAAAACCAGGUCUCGCUGAGAGCCGUGGAAGACUACCACGUUGAUAGGCUGGGCGUGUAAGCGCAGCAAUGCGUUGAGCUUACCAGUCCUAAUCGCAC